rnacentral:rRNA from 1 species
UUAAGCGACUAAGCGUACACGGUGGAUGCCCUGGCAGUCAGAGGCGAUGAAGGACGUGCUAAUCUGCGAUAAGCGUCGGUAAGGUGAUAUGAACCGUUAUAACCGGCGAUUUCCGAAUGGGGAAACCCAGUGUGAUUCGUCACACUAUCAUUAACUGAAUCCAUAGGUUAAUGAGGCGAACCGGGGGAACUGAAACAUCUAAGUACCCCGAGGAAAAGAAAUCAACCGAGAUUCCCCCAGUAGCGGCGAGCGAACGGGGAGCAGCCCAGAGCCUGAAUCAGUGUGUGUGUUAGUGGAAGCGUCUGGAAAGGCGCGCGAUACAGGGUGACAGCCCCGUACACAAAAAUGCACAUACUGUGAGCUCGAUGAGUAGGGCGGGACACGUGGUAUCCUGUCUGAAUAUGGGGGGACCAUCCUCCAAGGCUAAAUACUCCUGACUGACCGAUAGUGAACCAGUACCGUGAGGGAAAGGCGAAAAGAACCCCGGCGAGGGGAGUGAAAAAGAACCUGAAACCGUGUACGUACAAGCAGUGGGAGCACGCUUAGGCGUGUGACUGCGUACCUUUUGUAUAAUGGGUCAGCGACUUAUAUUCUGUAGCAAGGUUAACCGAAUAGGGGAGCCGAAGGGAAACCGAGUCUUAACUGGGCGUUAAGUUGCAGGGUAUAGACCCGAAACCCGGUGAUCUAGCCAUGGGCAGGUUGAAGGUUGGGUAACACUAACUGGAGGACCGAACCGACUAAUGUUGAAAAAUUAGCGGAUGACUUGUGGCUGGGGGUGAAAGGCCAAUCAAACCGGGAGAUAGCUGGUUCUCCCCGAAAGCUAUUUAGGUAGCGCCUCGUGAAUUCAUCUCCGGGGGUAGAGCACUGUUUCGGCAAGGGGGUCAUCCCGACUUACCAACCCGAUGCAAACUGCGAAUACCGGAGAAUGUUAUCACGGGAGACACACGGCGGGUGCUAACGUCCGUCGUGAAGAGGGAAACAACCCAGACCGCCAGCUAAGGUCCCAAAGUCAUGGUUAAGUGGGAAACGAUGUGGGAAGGCCCAGACAGCCAGGAUGUUGGCUUAGAAGCAGCCAUCAUUUAAAGAAAGCGUAAUAGCUCACUGGUCGAGUCGGCCUGCGCGGAAGAUGUAACGGGGCUAAACCAUGCACCGAAGCUGCGGCAGCGACACUAUGUGUUGUUGGGUAGGGGAGCGUUCUGUAAGCCUGUGAAGGUGUACUGUGAGGUAUGCUGGAGGUAUCAGAAGUGCGAAUGCUGACAUAAGUAACGAUAAAGCGGGUGAAAAGCCCGCUCGCCGGAAGACCAAGGGUUCCUGUCCAACGUUAAUCGGGGCAGGGGUGAGUCGACCCCUAAGGCGAGGCCGAAAGGCGUAGUCGAUGGGAAACAGGUUAAUAUUCCUGUACUUGGUGUUACUGCGAAGGGGGGACGGAGAAGGCUAUGUUGGCCGGGCGACGGUUGUCCCGGUUUAAGCGUGUAGGCUGGUUUUCCAGGCAAAUCCGGAAAAUCAAGGCUGAGGCGUGAUGACGAGGCACUACGGUGCUGAAGCAACAAAUGCCCUGCUUCCAGGAAAAGCCUCUAAGCAUCAGGUAACAUCAAAUCGUACCCCAAACCGACACAGGUGGUCAGGUAGAGAAUACCAAGGCGCUUGAGAGAACUCGGGUGAAGGAACUAGGCAAAAUGGUGCCGUAACUUCGGGAGAAGGCACGCUGAUAUGUAGGUGAAGUCCCUCGCGGAUGGAGCUGAAAUCAGUCGAAGAUACCAGCUGGCUGCAACUGUUUAUUAAAAACACAGCACUGUGCAAACACGAAAGUGGACGUAUACGGUGUGACGCCUGCCCGGUGCCGGAAGGUUAAUUGAUGGGGUUAGCGCAAGCGAAGCUCUUGAUCGAAGCCCCGGUAAACGGCGGCCGUAACUAUAACGGUCCUAAGGUAGCGAAAUUCCUUGUCGGGUAAGUUCCGACCUGCACGAAUGGCGUAAUGAUGGCCAGGCUGUCUCCACCCGAGACUCAGUGAAAUUGAACUCGCUGUGAAGAUGCAGUGUACCCGCGGCAAGACGGAAAGACCCCGUGAACCUUUACUAUAGCUUGACACUGAACAUUGAGCCUUGAUGUGUAGGAUAGGUGGGAGGCUUUGAAGUGUGGACGCCAGUCUGCAUGGAGCCGACCUUGAAAUACCACCCUUUAAUGUUUGAUGUUCUAACGUUGACCCGUGAUCCGGGUUGCGGACAGUGUCUGGUGGGUAGUUUGACUGGGGCGGUCUCCUCCUAAAGAGUAACGGAGGAGCACGAAGGUUGGCUAAUCCUGGUCGGACAUCAGGAGGUUAGUGCAAUGGCAUAAGCCAGCUUGACUGCGAGCGUGACGGCGCGAGCAGGUGCGAAAGCAGGUCAUAGUGAUCCGGUGGUUCUGAAUGGAAGGGCCAUCGCUCAACGGAUAAAAGGUACUCCGGGGAUAACAGGCUGAUACCGCCCAAGAGUUCAUAUCGACGGCGGUGUUUGGCACCUCGAUGUCGGCUCAUCACAUCCUGGGGCUGAAGUAGGUCCCAAGGGUAUGGCUGUUCGCCAUUUAAAGUGGUACGCGAGCUGGGUUUAGAACGUCGUGAGACAGUUCGGUCCCUAUCUGCCGUGGGCGCUGGAGAACUGAGGGGGGCUGCUCCUAGUACGAGAGGACCGGAGUGGACGCAUCACUGGUGUUCGGGUUGUCAUGCCAAUGGCACUGCCCGGUAGCUAAAUGCGGAAGAGAUAAGUGCUGAAAGCAUCUAAGCACGAAACUUGCCCCGAGAUGAGUUCUCCCUGACUCCUUGAGAGUCCUGAAGGAACGUUGAAGACGACGACGUUGAUAGGCCGGGUGUGUAAGCGCAGCGAUGCGUUGAGCUAACCGGUACUAAUGAACCGUGAGGCUUAACCUU